rnacentral:rRNA from 1 species
GACGAACGCUGGCGGCGUGCUUAACACAUGCCAGUCGAACGGAAAGGCCCUGCUUUUGUGGGGUGCUCGAGUGGCGAACGGGUGAGUAACACGUGAGUAACCUGCCCUUGACUUUGGGAUAACUUCAGGAAACUGGGGCUAAUACCGGAUAGGAGCUCCUGCUGCAUGGUGGGGGUUGGAAAGUUUCGGCGGUUGGGGAUGGACUCGCGGCUUAUCAGCUUGUUGGUGGGGUAGUGGCUUACCAAGGCUUUGACGGGUAGACGGCCUGAGAGGGUGACCGGCCACAUUGGGACUGAGAUACGGCCCAGACUCCUACGGGAGGCAGCAGUGGGGAAUAUUGCACAAUGGGCGGAAGCCUGAUGCAGCAACGCCGCGUGCGGGAUGACGGCCUUCGGGUUGUAAACCGCUUUCGCCUGUGACGAAGCGUGAGUGACGGUAAUGGGUAAAGAAGCACCGGCUAACUACGUG